rnacentral:rRNA from 1 species
UUAGUGGCGGACGGGUGAGUAACGCGUGGGUAACCUGCCGUAUACAGGGGAUAACACUUAGAAAUAGGUGCUAAUACCGCAUAAGCGCACGGUUCCGCAUGGGACAGUGUGAAAAACUUCGGUGGUGUAAGAUGGAUCCGCGUCUGAUUAGCUGGUUGGCGGGGUAGAAGCCCACCAAGGCGACGAUCAGUAGCCGGCCUGAGAGGGUGAACGGCCACAUUGGGACUGAGACACGGCCCAAACUCCUACGGGAGGCAGCAG